CACAUAGGCACAGACAUAUAACAUAUCUUUGUCUAUUCCGAGGAAUUCUUUCUUAAGGAUAAAUGCAAGUAUGUUGUCGAAACUAUUAUCAACAUCUUUACAUAGGCCACUAAUUCAUUCAUGAUCAAAACUAAUAGUCCUCCCGAUAAACUUCCGUGCAUUGAUAGUCUAAUACCUGGCUUGCUGAACGCUGUGUGAUGGGGAAAGUUCUUCGAGUAGAACUCCUUUAUAAAUGUUUCAGUUAGACAUACAAAGUCAAAUUUGGACACGUCAGCGAUAAAGUCAGUGUCUUCUAGCUUUGACAUUAGUCAUUCUAUGUUCCAGUUCAAAAACUUCAAAUAGCUAGGACGUAUGUUCAGAUUAUCCUCACUGCUUUCUUUACUACCAUUACUUCCCGUUUGAUUUGUUCUGUCCUCAUCAAUUAUCUACCGAGCCCUCGACUCACAGAUGAUUGUAUAUAUAACCACGUGUGAGCCACAGACUACAUAUUUUUAAUGUCUUCAUUGUUUACCGACCCAGUGUAUUUUUUGAAUAUUAAUGACUUACCCCUUGAUAUGAACCCUAUGGUGGUGUCAAUAAAUGAUCAAAGGUCAAAAUUUCUUACACACAAUCACACACACACACACAAAGUUACACACACGUAGCUUGUCAGUCUUACCUUGAGUAUCUGAAUCUUUUAACAAUAUACAUGUAAUAACAUUAGGGAAAUGGUCUGGCUCAUCCUUAUCCAGAAAUGGUUGUACACGUCUGAGUAUAUUCCCAUACUUCUCAUCAAAACUAAUUGCAGUUCCUCACUGCUCAUUACUACUGAUGACUGCUUAAGAUUGCUAAUUACCGUUACAACAACAACACUGACGGCCAGUCUCAUUGUCCCCAGGCCGGUGUUGUGCCUGUCUCUGGUGGCGUUGUCGCUGUAAUCAAGAUUAGUUCACUAGAAAUAAGAGACACCCGCUAUCAUGUCCUGGUCUUGCAAGAAGUGUGAUUGUGAAAGGACUGACAGACACUUGUGAACAUGAACUCGGUGGAUAACAAUUAAAAGUCUUUAUUCAUUUGAAAGUCGAGACCUGUUCACUUCUUGUCGUUUAAUCAUUCAGAGACCAAAUUAGCAAGAUAAUCAAAAUCGUCUCCUGAGGAGAGUAGAAGGUAACUGUGAGAAAAAUGACAAAGUCACACGAGAAUGGGUUUUAUUAUUUGGGUAACCAACUGGGCAGGUCACGUGAGGGUCGUCAUUCUCAGAUCUUGGAGACAUGUUGACAGCUGCUCUGGCAAAAUAACGGUUUGAAGGGAGGUCUGUACACGACUUAGUAUGACACAGUCUGUGUGUGAAUUCAUAAACAAAUACAAGAAAAGAUAUUACUGGAACAAAUUCAACAGUCCACUGCAGAAAAGAACAAGAAAAGUUAAUAUUUAGAGAAAAAUCUUUUUUGUCUUAAACGUUUUACUGCCACAGCCCGACACACAGUUACUGCUGCUCCUGGUGAUGUUGCAGCUACAGUGCAUGUACUUUCUCGAAUUGUUGAUAAAAAA